AUGGAACAAAUUGAUAGAGUGAAAAAUGCAACCCAGGCAGCAAAGGGGUUCGCCUCAAGCUCCGCCGGGCAGCUGGCGAGGAUUGAGGGCCUGGUGACUGUAGGCUGCAUCCUUGUCGGCAUCCUUGUCGUGUCCAACUCGAGGCGACGCCAUGACGGCCGUUUCUUGGCCAGGCUUGUCGUCUGGGGCGCCUUCAUGUUCAACUUCCCGGUGAUCUCCUACACCAUCGGCCUAAUGCAAUCGUCGUCCAUCCAGAACGAGCUCUUCGUCGUGUGGGCCUGCUUCCUCCUCCUCCUUCUCGGCAGCGCCGACAACCAUGACCGCGUUCAGCUUCAACGACAGCAGCCAGCAGACUAG
rnacentral:rRNA from 1 species